GACGAACGCUGGCGGCGUGCCUAAUACAUGCAAGUCGUACGCUUCUUUUUCCACCGGAGCUUGCUCCACCGGAAAAAGAAGAGUGGCGAACGGGUGAGUAACACGUGGGUAACCUGCCCAUCAGAAGGGGAUAACACUUGGAAACAGGUGCUAAUACCGUAUAACAAUCGAAACCGCAUGGUUUUGAUUUGAAAGGCGCUUUCGGGUGUCGCUGAUGGAUGGACCCGCGGUGCAUUAGCUAGUUGGUGAGGUAACGGCUCACCAAGGCCACGAUGCAUAGCCGACCUGAGAGGGUGAUCGGCCACAUUGGGACUGAGACACGGCCCAAACUCCUACGGGAGGCAGCAGUAGGGAAUCUUCGGCAAUGGACGAAAGUCUGACCGAGCAACGCCGCGUGAGUGAAGAAGGUUUUCGGAUCGUAAAACUCUGUUGUUAGAGAAGAACAAGGAUGAGAGUAACUGUUCAUCCCUUGACGGUAUCUAACCAGAAAGCCACGGCUAACUACGUGCCAGCAGCCGCGGUAAUACGUAGGUGGCAAGCGUUGUCCGGAUUUAUUGGGCGUAAAGCGAGCGCAGGCGGUUUCUUAAGUCUGAUGUGAAAGCCCCCGGCUCAACCGGGGAGGGUCAUUGGAAACUGGGAGACUUGAGUGCAGAAGAGGAGAGUGGAAUUCCAUGUGUAGCGGUGAAAUGCGUAGAUAUAUGGAGGAACACCAGUGGCGAAGGCGGCUCUCUGGUCUGCAACUGACGCUGAGGCUCGAAAGCGUGGGGAGCAAACAGGAUUAGAUACCCUGGUAGUCACGCCGUAAACGAUGAGUGCUAAGUGUUGGAGGGUUUCCGCCCUUCAGUGCUGCAGCUAACGCAUUAAGCACUCCGCCUGGGGAGUACGACCGCAAGGUUGAAACUCAAAGGAAUUGACGGGGGCCCGCACAAGCGGUGGAGCAUGUGGUUUAAUUCGAAGCAACGCGAAGAACCUUACCAGGUCUUGACAUCCUUUGACCACUCUAGAGAUAGAGCUUCCCCUUCGGGGGCAAAGUGACAGGUGGUGCAUGGUUGUCGUCAGCUCGUGUCGUGAGAUGUUGGGUUAAGUCCCGCAACGAGCGCAACCCUUAUUGUUAGUUGCCAUCAUUCAGUUGGGCACUCUAGCAAGACUGCCGGUGACAAACCGGAGGAAGGUGGGGAUGACGUCAAAUCAUCAUGCCCCUUAUGACCUGGGCUACACACGUGCUACAAUGGGAAGUACAACGGGUUGCGAAGUCGCGAGGCUAAGCUAAUCUCUUAAAGCUUCUCUCAGUUCGGAUUGCAGGCUGCAACUCGCCUGCAUGAAGCCGGAAUCGCUAGUAAUCGCGGAUCAGCACGCCGCGGUGAAUACGUUCCCGGGCCUUGUACACACCGCCCGUCACACCACGAGAGUUUGUAACACCCGAAGUCGGUGAGGUAACCUUUUUGGAGCCAGCCGCCUAAGGUGGGAUAGAUGAUUGGGGUG
rnacentral:rRNA from 1 species